GAUGAAGAACGUAGCGAAAUGCGAUACGUAAUGUGAAUCGCAGAACUCAGUGAACCAUCGAGUCUUUGAACGCACAUUGCGCCCCCUGGUAUUCCGGGGGGCAUGCCUGUCCGAGCGUCAUUGCUGCCCUCAAGCACGGCUUGUGUGUUGGGCCUCCGUCCUCCUCCCGGGGGACGGGCCCGAAAGGCAGCGGCGGCACCGCGUCCGGUCCUCGAGCGUAUGGGGCUUCGUCACCCGCUCUUGUAGGCCCGGCCGGCGCUUGCCGACACAUCAAUCUUUUUUCCAGGUUGACCUCGGAUCAGGUAGGGAUACCCGCUGAACUUAAGCAUAUCAAUAAGCGGAGGA
rnacentral:misc_RNA from 1 species